UAGGGAAUCUUCCACAAUGGACGCAAGUCUGAUGGAGCAACGCCGCGUGAGUGAAGAAGGUUUUCGGAUCGUAAAGCUCUGUUGUUGGUGAAGAAGGAUAGAGGCAGUAACUGGUCUUUAUUUGACGGUAAUCAACCAGAAAGUCACGGCUAACUACGUGCCAGCAGCCGCGGUAAUACGUAGGUGGCAAGCGUUGUCCGGAUUUAUUGGGCGUAAAGCGAGCGCAGGCGGAAUGAUAAGUCUGAUGUGAAAGCCCACGGCUCAACCGUGGAACUGCAUCGGAAACUGUCAUUCUUGAGUGCAGAAGAGGAGAGUGGAAUUCCAUGUGUAGCGGUGGAAUGCGUAGAUAUAUGGAAGAACACCAGUGGCGAAGGCGGCUCUCUGGUCUGCAACUGACGCUGAGGCUCGAAAGCAGGGGUAGCGAACAGG
rnacentral:rRNA from 1 species